AUUGAACGCUGGCGGCAUGCCUUACACAUGCAAGUCGAACGGUAGCAGGUCUUCGGAUGCUGACGAGUGGCGAACGGGUGAGUAAUACAUCGGAACGUGCCCAGACGUGGGGGAUAACGAGGCGAAAGCUUUGCUAAUACCGCAUACGAUCUAAGGAUGAAAGCAGGGGACCGCAAGGCCUUGUGCGUUUGGAGCGGCCGAUGGCAGAUUAGGUAGUUGGUGGGAUAAAAGCUUACCAAGCCGACGAUCUGUAGCUGGUCUGAGAGGACGACCAGCCACACUGGGACUGAGACACGGCCCAGACUCCUACGGGAGGCAGCAGUGGGGAAUUUUGGACAAUGGGCGAAAGCCUGAUCCAGCAAUGCCGCGUGCAGGAUGAAGGCCUUCGGGUUGUAAACUGCUUUUGUACGGAACGAAAAGGCUCUGGCUAAUACCUGGGGCACAUGACGGUACCGGAAGAAUAAGCACCGGCUAACUACGUG
rnacentral:rRNA from 1 species